rnacentral:lncRNA from 1 species
CAGAAAUGCUGGGCAGCAGGGAAAGGACACAAAUUCACACAACUCAAAAUUAAGUCUACAGCUAUAUUCAAAAAUCAUCCUCAAGCCACUUGAACAACCUGAGCCUCCUUGCUUUCUCUGUUUAAGGCUUUGCAGUUCCCACUGAAGUGUUUCAUAACAAACUUAAUUAACCCCCCAAUCAUGCAGCCAGAUAUAUUUCAGGUGGGUUUUCCAUUAGCAAGUUUUCUGUGCCCAAAGAUUACAUCACAUCACUAAACUCACUUGGCUAUAGCAGGUGACACAAGCCAAAGAAGAAAGAAAGAAAAUUGCUUGUUUAAGAGAGAGAGGUCAUGAGUGAGAGGAGAGCUUUCACAUUCAGUAUGGAGGAGCCAGGAUUUCUCAGAUGACUCUGAAGCAGAUCUAACAGAUGUUGAUGAGAAAGCAAUUGAGCUUCUUACAGAGGAAGAACUUGGAUCCAAGUGGAUUAUUCAUGGGGUAUUCUCAAUGCAUAAAGCGGUGCCAGAAUGAACGAUGACUGAAGAAGUUCUGAAUGCGCAGUUCUGAAUGCACCACUCAUUUCUCACAGUGAGUGGUGGAUGUUGGUAACCCACACAGGACUGUAAGCAGCAACUGGAAAGCCUGGCUGAGCGAUGAGAUUUAAAGAACAAGCUGAUGUUCAGUCACUGUGGUAUUUAUUGCAGCAAACUACAUCUUAAAAUUACUGGUUAUCUUGGAAAUGGCUGCGGACUAGUCAGGCUGUAAAACUGUCAGUUUUACUAAGAUAUGGGCACUGAAUUCAUGCUUGUUUUCAGUGAUGUGAGAAAAAUAGAAGACAGUCAUCAAAAGUGUCUUCAAAAGGAAAUGAGCCGGCUAUCAUGUUGAAAAUGGCUGUUUUGUCUCUUUGAAUUCUGGUCUGAGAAACAAGCUUUCAUACUGAUUUCAGGUUUGAAGGCACAGGUGAUUUAUGGCUGUCAAGAUUACCCUAAUUACCUGAGUUGUUCAUGUGUCUCAGUGAAUGGACUGCCAGUUUACAGGAAUUGAAAACUGUGUCUUUGAACCUUUACAAUAAAACCAGGGUAAUGAGAAAGCA